GACGAACGCUGGCGGCGUGCUUAACACAUGCAAGUCGAACGGAAAGGCCCUGCUUUUGUGGGGUGCUCGAGUGGCGAACGGGUGAGUAACACGUGAGUAACCUGCCCUUGUCUUUGGGAUAACUUCAGGAAACUGGGGCUAAUACCGGAUAGGAGCUCCUGCUGCGUGGUGGGGGUUGGAAAGAUUCGGCGGUUGGGGAUGGACUCGCGGCUUAUCCGCUUGUUGGUGGGGUAGUGGCUUACCAAGGCUUUGACGGGUAGCCGGCCUGAGAGGGUGACCGGCCACAAUGGGACUGAGGUACGGCCCAGACUGCUACGGGAGGCAGCAGUGGGGAAUAUUGCACAAUGGGCGGAAGCCUGAUGCAGCAACGCUGCGUGCGGGAUGACGGCCUUCGGGUUGUAAACCGCUUUCGCCUGUGACGAAGCGUGAGUGACGGUAAUGGGUAAAGAAGCACCGGCUAACUACGUG
rnacentral:rRNA from 1 species